GUGGGGAAUAACUUCGGGAAACCGAGGCUAAUACCGCAUAAUACCCACGGGUCAAAGGAGCAAUUCGCUUGAGGAGGAGGUCGCGGCCGAUUAGUUAGUUGGCGGGGUAAUGGCCCCACCAAGACGGUGAUCGGUAUCCGGCCUGAGAGGGCGCACGGACACACUGGAACUGAAACACGGUCCAGACUCCUACGGGAGGCAGCAGUGGGGAAUUUUGCGCAAUGGGGGAAACCCUGACGCAGCAACGCCGCGUGGAGGAUGAAGUCUCUUGGGACGUAAACUCCUUUCGAUCGGGACGAUUAUGACGGUACCGGAAGAAGAAGCCCCGGCUAACUUCGUG
rnacentral:rRNA from 1 species